rnacentral:misc_RNA from 1 species
GAUGAAGAACGUAGCGAAAUGCGAUAAGUAAUGUGAAUUGCAGAAUUCAGUGAAUCAUCGAAUCUUUGAACGCACAUUGCGCCCCCUGGUAUUCCGGGGGGCAUGCCUGUUCGAGCGUCAUUUCACCACUCAAGCCUCGCUUGGUAUUGGGCAACGCGGUCCGCCGCGUGCCUCAAAUCGACCGGCUGGGUCUUCUGUCCCCUAAGCGUUGUGGAAACUUUCGCUAAAGGGUGUUCGGGAGGCUACGCCGUAAAACAACCCCAUUUCUAAGGUUGACCUCGGAUCAGGUAGGGAUACCCGCUGAACUUAAGCAUAUUAAUAAGCGGAGGA